rnacentral:rRNA from 1 species
UACAGAGGGUGCAAGCGUUGUUCGGAAUUAUUGGGCGUAAAGCGCGUGUAGGCGGCAGUGCAAGUCGGGUGUGAAAGCCCUAGGCUCAACCGAGGAAGUGCGCCCGAAACUGCAUUGCUUGAGUACCGGAGAGGAUGGCGGAAUUCCCGAAGUAGAGGUGAAAUUCGUAGAUAUCGGGAGGAACACCGGUGGCGAAGGCGGCCAUCUGGACGGAUACUGACGCUGAGACGCGAAAGCGUGGGUAGCAAACAGG